AUGUCGCAAGGAGAGCAAGCACAAUCACGAGCAACGGGGAGCUUGGCUGCUGUUCUCCUCGUAGGGAUCCUGCUCCAGCUCGCCGGCUGCAGCCCUCCACCGGAUCCGGUGACCUGCACGCAUGGCACGUCCAACUGCACGGUCACCAACACGUACGGCUCCUUCACGGACCGCACCAUCUGCCACGCGGCCAACGUCGUCUACCCGAGCACCGAGCAGGAGCUGGUCGCGGCCGUGGCGGCCGCGGCGUCGGCCAAACGCAAGAUGAAGGUGGCCACCAAGCACUCACACAGCGGCCCCAAGCUGGCGUGCCCCGGCGGCAGCCAGGGCACCAUCAUAAGCACCGCACGGCUGAACCGGACGGUUCGCAUCGACGCCGAGAGGCAGCUCAUCACGGUGGAGAGCGGCAUGGUACUCCGGGACCUGAUCCAGGCCGCUGCCGCACCGGGGCUGUCACUGCCGCACUCGCCGUACUGGUACGGCCUAACCAUCGGCGGGCUCCUCGCGACGGGCGCGCAUGGGAGCGGGCUGUGGGGCAAGGGAGGCGCCGUGCACGAGUACGUGGUCGGUCUGAGGAUCGUGACGCCGGCGCCGGCGUGUCACGGGUUCGCCAUGGUGAGGGAGCUCGCCGCCGAUCACCCGGACCUGGACGCCGCCAAGGUCUCCCUUGGGGUCCUCGGCGUUGUCUCCCAGGUGACUCUGGCCCUGCAGCCGCUGUUCAAGCGGUCAGUGACGUUCGUGAGGCGCAACGACUCGGACUUCACGGCACGGGUGGCCGAGUGGGGCCGUCUUCACGAGUUCGCCGACAUGAUAUGGCUGCCGCAGCACGGCAGCGUCAUCUACCGCCAGGACGACCGCGUCGACGUCGCGACACCCGGGAAUGGGCUCAGCGAUCUGGCCCUUUUUCGUUCCAACCCCACAGCCCUGCUUGUCCGCGUAAGAGCCGCAGAGGAGCGGCUGCAGGAGAACGGCACUGACAUCGCCCGGUGCGCGGCGGAGCAGGAGGCGGCCACGAGACAGCUGCCGGCCUUGGGCUUCACGAACGACGGCGUCUCCUUCACGGGGUACCCGAUUGUGGGGUACCAGCAUCGCAUCCAGGCGUCCGGCUCAUGCAUCGAUGGCCCAGAGGAUGGCCUCCUCUCCUCCUGCGCCUGGGACCCGCGCAUCCGAGGUACCUUCCUGUACAACUCCGGCUUCAGCGUCCCACUCUCUAAGGUGUCGGCAUUCGUCGCCGACAUGCAACGGCUCCGGGACCUCAAACCGGCCGCGUUUUGUGCCCUCCUUCGUGCGGGUGUUGUCCUCCGCUACGUCAAGGCGUCCUCCGCGUACGUCGGCAAGCCCGAGGACUCUGUUGACGUCGACAUCAUCUUCUACCGCAGCCACACCGACGGCAUGCCGCGCGCCCACGCCGACGUGCUGGACGAGAUUGAGCAGAUGGCGUUGGGUAAGUACGGCGGCCUGCCGCACUGGGGUAAGAACCGCAACUUCGCCUUCGACGGUGUCAUCGCAAGGUACCCGAAAGCCCAUAAGUUCCUUAAGGUAAAGAAUAUGUACGACCCCGACGGGCUCUUCUCCAGCGAGUGGACCGACCAAGUGCUCGGCGUCAACGGGACCCCCAACAUCAUUAAAAAGCGUUGCGCCAUUGAAGGACUAUGUGUCUGCUCUGACGACUUGCACUGUGCGCCAGAACAGGGGUACUUCUGCCGGCCAGGGAAGGUUUACACGAAGGCAAGAGUUUGCUCCUCCACCGAGGAUUAUUAG
rnacentral:rRNA from 1 species